rnacentral:rRNA from 1 species
UACGGGGGGGGCUAGCGUUGUUCGGAAUUACUGGGCGUAAAGGGCGCGUAGGCGGCCUACUAAGUCGGACGUGAAAUCCCUCGGCUCAACCGGGGAACUGCGUCCGAUAUUGGUGGGCUCGAAUCCGGGAGAGGGAUGUGGAAUUCCAGGUGUAGCGGUGAAAUGCGUAGAUAUCUGGAGGAACACCGGUGGCGAAGGCGGCAUCCUGGACCGGUAUUGACGCUGAUGCGCGAAAGCCAGGGGAGCAAACGGG